CAACUCCCUCAGGAAUCGAAAGAACAAGUUUUGCAAGCCUCUCAAGACUCACGCAUAAACAAAACUCCACGAGUUUGUGUAUUCUGAAUUUUAACCAAGCAAGAUGUGUCCUUUCAUUGUCUAGUACAAGGGAUAUAUAUAGAUAGGGGGCGUUCAGCUUUGAAUACAUGACAGCAUGCACAUCCACUAGUGGAUUUCGUGGCUGGUUCGCGCGUCUUCUCAGCUUCUGGCAGCAGUUACUAAAAUGAGCAUAACUCUUUAUUGGGAAGUCUAAAUAAUGAACCGUUUGAUGGGCUGCAACAUAGACUUAAAGAUGCUUUCAUCCACCUGUAGAAUGCCACGUAACUCCUUGUAUUCUGUCCGUGGUGAUGCUUGGAAUUUGUACCAUGGGUCAGCCAUCUAGCUUCUGGUUGCCUUCUCAUGCAGAAGUAAUGAACCACCAUUUUAUUUAUGCACACGAUAGGCUUCUUGGUUCAGAUGUCCAAAGGCUUGAAUCCAUCUUCAUCCCAUGCUGGUUCAUACCCUCCAUCAUUCCUAAGGACAUUGAAACAAGAACUCAAAAGUAUAGGAUCAUUCAACAUAAACUGAUUAUUAAACAUAAGGUUAGCGUUCACCUGAGAAUGAAUUUCCUUCUCCAAUUGUUUAGCUCUACUUCUUGUAAUUGGACCACUUAUAUCAAGUGGAGUUUCAUUUGAAGAUGAAUGAAUGCUAGGGAUGUCCUCAUCAGCCUCCCCCUCUUGAGAAGGAGUCGUCCUCGACUCAGGCUCACCAACAAAUGGAAGCAAGUCUUUGACAUUGAAUGUUGGACUAACAUUGGAAUAUUCAGGUGGCAGCUCAAUUUUGUAUGCAUUAUCAUUUAUCUUUUUUAGAACCUUGAAUGGACCAUCACCUCUAGGUGAUAACUUACUCUUACGUUGUUGGGGAAAUCGAUCCUUGCGUAGAUGCAACCACACGAGGUCACCAGGCUGAAAUGUAACCUUCUUCUUACCUUUGUUCGCUUGCUUUGCAUAUUGUGCUGAUUUCUUCUCAAUAUUUCUUCUUGUCUCAUCAUGUAGCUUCUUGAUAAAGUUGGAUCUCUUCGCUGCAUCCAAGUUAACUUGUUCCUGUAAUGGUAAAGGCAAAAGAUCCAUGGGAGUAUGUGGCUUAAAACCAUAAACAAUUUCAAAUGGACAAAAAUUUGUUGUGGAAUGUAGUGCCCUAUUAUAAGCAAAUUCGACAUGUGGAAGACAUUCUUCCCACUGCUUCAAAUUCUUUUUUAGCACGGCACGCAGCAUGGUGGACAGGGUACGGUUGACAACUUCAGUUUGCCCAUCCGUUUGUGGGUGACAAGUGGUGGAAAAUAACAACUUCGUGCCAAGUUUAGCCCAUAAUGUCUUCCAAAAAUAGCUCAGGAAUUUUGUAUCUCGGUCUGAAACAAUAGUCUUUGGCACUCCAUGUAAACGAACAAUCUCCCUGAAAAACAAAUCAGCAACGUGUGAAGCAUCAUCGCUCUUGUGACAUGGAAUAAAAUGUGCCAUUUUUGAGAAGCGAUCAACAAUAACGAAGAUAGAGUCCCUCCCCCUCUGAGACCUUGGUAAUCCCAGAAUAAAAUCCAUGGAUAUAUCUUCCCAAGGUACAGUUGGGAUUGGUAAUGAAGUAUAGAGACCAUGGGGAUUAAGGCGGGACUUAGCUUUCAAGCAGAUUAUGCAGCGCUCGACAUGUCAUUGAACAUCACGUCGCAUAUGUGGCCAAAAGAAAUGAUCAGAGAGCAUGUCCAAUGUCUUUUUGAUGCCAAAAUGACCAGCUAAGCCACCAGCAUGUGCUUCCUGUAAAAGAACUUGACGAAUCGAGCAGGCUAGAAUGCAUAGUUUGUUAGUUCGAAAUAAAAAAUCAUCAUGUACAUAAUACUUGUCCCAGCCUUUUCCAGCAAUGCAAUGAGAGAAAGGUUCUUUAAAAUCAGAAUCAGUUGCAUAGAGUGUUUUAAUGGAUUCCAAACCAAGCACUUUUGUAUCUAAUUGUGUAACCAAACCACACCUUCUUGACAAAGCAUCUGCAACAAUGUUAUCUUUACCACGCUUAUGUUUAACAACAUACGGAAAUGUUUCUAUGAACUCGAUCCAUUUAGCAUGUCUACGAUUCAGUUUGCCUUGACUUUUUAAAUAUUUCAAAGCUUCAUGAUCAGAAUGGAUGACAAAUUCUUUAGGUAACAAAUAAUGUUGCCAAACUUCCAAAACUCGAACUAAGGCAUAAAGCUCUUUAUCAUAGACAGAAUAAUUCAGAUGUGGACCAUUUAACUUUUCAGAAAAGUAGGCAAUAGGUUUACCUUCUUGAAGUAGCACACCUCCAAUGCCAAUACCACUUGCAUCACAUUCAAUCUCAAAAGUCUUACCGAAGUUAGGUAGCUGCAGCAGUGGUGCUUCACAAAGCUUUCUUUUUAACUCUACAAAGGCUUGCUCUUGGUCAUCUCCCCAUUUGAAUGGAACAUCCUUCUUUGUCAAGUUGUUAAGUGGUGCAGCGAUCGUGCUGAAAUCUUUAACAAAUCGUCGAUAGAAACCUGCAAGACCAUGGAAACUUCGAAUUUGGCUCACAUUUGUAGGAGUAGGCCAAUCCUUUAUUGCCUUAACCUUCUCUUCAUCAACCUGGAUGCCAUCUGCAGUCACAACAAAACCAAGAAAAACAACACGAUCUGUGCAAAAUGUGCACUUAGCAAUGUUGGCAUACAAUUUCUCUUCCCUCAAAACAGCAAGUACUUGAUGGAUAUGAUCAAGAUGUUCAUCAAAUGAUUUGCUAUAGAUCAGAAUAUCAUCAAAAUAAACAACUACAAACUUGCCAAUGAAAGCUCGUAAAACAUGAUUCAUUAAGCGCAUAAAAGUUGAAGGAGCAUUUGUCAAGCCAAAGGGCAUCACAAGCCAUUCAUACAAGCCAAAUUUGGUUGUAAAUGCUGUCUUCCAUUCAUCACCAAUUUUCAUGCGAAUUUGGUGAUAGCCACUGCGUAAAUCAAUCUUGGUGAAAAUAGUUGAGCCGCUCAAUUCAUCUAACAUGUCAUCAAGCCUAGGAAUGGGAUGGCGAUAUCUUACAGUUAUAGCAUUAAUGGCACGACAAUCGACACACAUGCGCCAAGAGCCAUCUUUCUUAGGGACCAAAAGUACUGGAACAGCACAAGGUGAUAGAGAUUCACGAACAUACCCUUUGUCGAAAAGCUCUUUUACCUGUCGCUGAAUUUCUUUGGUUUCUUCAGGAUUAGCACGGUAGGCUGGACGAUUGGGAAGAGAAGCUCCAGGUACCAAAUCGAUUUGAUGCUCAAUACCACGGAGUGGAGGAAGGCCAGCUGGUACCUCAUCAGGAAAAACAUCUUCAAAGUCCUGUAAGAGAUCAAGAACAGCACUAGGCAGCGAUGAAGGUAAAUCGUUAGUUGAAAGUAGGACCUCCUUGUGCAAGAGCACAAAGAAUGGGGCUGUGGUGUUCCUCACUUCUCUCAAAUCACUCCUGCUCACAAAUAAGCACUCAUUUUGGUGGUGUUGUUUUGUAGUGGAAAGAGGCUUUAUGUGGCUAGAUUGGUUAGAAGUCUCUCCCUUACUAGUGUUGGCAGCCUCACUCAAUUUUCUUUUGUCAGAUUCUUCUUUUUUCAUGCGAGCCACAUCUGAAGCAUAGAUCUCUUCUGGAGAUAAUGGAACAAGAACCACCUUCUUGUCGUUGUGGAUGAAAGUAUACUUGUUAGACCGCCCAAAGUGCACCGAAUCCACAUCAAACUGCCAUGGACGACCCAACAGCAAAUGGCAUGCUUGCAUGGGUACAAUAUCACAAUCAACCUCACCAUGAUAGUCACCAAUGGAGAAAGACAAACGAACCAUGGAUGAGACCUUCACUGUCCCUGAAUUAUUCAGCCACUGCAUAUGGUAAGGGUGUGGAUGGCGGCGUGUUGGUAGGCCAAGCUUCUCAACAAGCAAGGCACUAACAAUAUUAUUGCAGCUCCCACCAUCUAUGAUGAAACGACACACUUGACCUUUCACUUUGCAUCGGGACUGAAACAAAUUAUGACGUUGUCCUUGUUCAGCAGCAACAAACUGAGUGGAAAGAACUCUUCUAACCACCAAAUAAGGAGAUGAUCUAUUCAUUUUAGAAGGCUCCAAAUCAGGAAAAUCAGCAAGCAACUCAUCAAAAUCAGCACUAGUAAUCUCAUUAGAAUAUGGAGAAAUAACAUCUUCUAUCAUGUCACUGGGAGCAAAAGUUAGAAUAGGUUGAAUAGCUAAACAAUUCAGACCUAGCUCAAAAGUACCAUCCUCAGUUGAAUACUCACAAGUGUCAAGAGUAUGAUCUGCAAAGACAUUGUGAAACUCGUCCUCCUCUUCACUUUGUGAAUCAUAUGAACCAUCAGCAAGGGCAAUAAUCGUACGACGAUUGGGACAUUCAGCUUGCUUAUGCCCAUGACCACCACACUUAAAACACUCAAUCUUGCUUGUAUGCCUUGGGGCUGCAGUAGCAGAGGAGCUGGACUGAGUAGAGCUUACAGCUUUGCCUUUGGAAUCAAAAUGUUUGGAAGAAGUUGCACGAGAUGUAGGUGUGUGCACCCCUGACCCGUGCUGCUGUGACUGGCGCCAUGAAGUAGCACUAUUAUGAGCUGAAAAUGAAGCACGAUCUUUAUAAGAUCCAGCAAGUUGUCGUUCUACCCUUUUUGCAAAAUGUACCAACUCAGUGAGACAUGUGUAGUUUGUCAUAUCCACUUUAUCAGCAAUGGGCUUAUUGAGGCCAACCAGAAAUCGAGCCAUUGUGGAUUCCUCAUCUUCAGUUAUCCCUGUACGAAGUAAACACAUUUCCAAUUCUUGAAAAUAUUCAUCAACAGUACGAGUACCUUGCACAAGACGUUUUAGCUUCAAAUGUAGAUCACGAGAGUAAUAUGCAGGAACAAAACGACGUCGCAUUUCCCUCUUCAUGUCUUCCCAAGUAAUACGAUCAUGUCCAGCGCGUCGGAGUUCAGUACACACUUGAUUCCACCAAGUGAUUGCAUAGCCUGAAAACUCAAUUGCAGCAAGCUUUGCUUUCUUGACAGGAGGAUAAGGAUACAAAUCAAAGAUCUGUUCAACCUUAGUCUCCCACUCAAAAUAAUCAUCAGCACUUUCUUUUCCAUUAAAUUUUGGAAUAGACACUUUCACUUUGCUUAAACCAUCAUCAUCAAGGCGACGGUGGCGGUCACGAUAACCACGAUGGCCACCAUGGCGAUGAUCAUCCAUGUCAGUCAACAUAUCAUCAUUACCAUCAUAAUCUCGUCCACCUCGAACAGGAAUGCGCCGAGCACGACCAAAAUUAAGAAGACCAUGACCACGCCCGCCACGUCCACGACCAGCGGGACGACGCGGUGGCUCAUCCUCCUCGUCAAUAUCAUCAUCCUCAUUUGGUGGCGGUUCUCGACGUGGUAUGUUCAAUUGGAGAGUUUGGAGCUGCUGCACCAAAUCAUUCAUUUGUGUACGCAACUCCUGAAAUUCCUCCACCGAAACAGCGGCACCAUCUCCACGUCCUGCCAUGUUAGUAGAGGAAAAAAAAGGACAAUAUAUAUGUGGAAUCACUCCCUCACCACUUACAAAACAAGUUCUUUCUCUCCCUGAAAAGAGCAAGAACCGGGGCUGCGAUCUGUAGGGAAGAGUGAUUGUAACAGCGACGACGGUGCAACAACUCACGGUGCUUUAAGUGGAGCUUGGUGGGGUAAUAUGUUAGUGGAAUGCACUGAAAUGUAGUGAUGCAAAACCAAAUAAUAAUCCAAGAACAGAAGUCUAAGUUGCUGAAUAUAAAGGAAAGGAUGCACAAAGAAAGGAAUGAGAUGUAGUAAGUGGACAGAUGAUCACCAAUUUGCACCAACCGAGAACUUGUUGCUGCCCAAACCCCUUUUUGGUGUGCUGCACACAGUUCUCUUUUUGUUUUUCUUGCUUUUUUUUUCUCUUUUUUUUGGAACAAAAACUCGUUUUCAGUCCUUCUUUUGACCCAUAGACAUCAUUUCUUUUAACCUCUGUGUCAAACGCAGCACAACUUUCAACUAAAGGGGAUCACUAAGAUGGAUGGUGCAGCACAAAAACAAGAAACUGCGGUGGGGAAUAUGUGGCGGUUAGAAAACAAGGGUGGGAUGGGUGGGUAUUUUUUUUUGUUUAUAUAUACGCAGCAAGCAAUGAUGAUCAGAUCAAGGGUGGGAUGGAUGGGUACAUGCAGCAAGCAAUUUGAUGAUUAGAACAAAGAUAAUAACUAGAACAAUGUGGAAAAGAAAAAUUCAGCAACUAGACAAAUAUUAAAGGAUUAAAACUCGAUAAAGCAAACUACAAAAUCAGUAGCACAUAUGAAUUUGGGCUGUAGGUUUUCUUUUUGGCUCUCAGUGGACAGUAGGUAUUUAAACUCUAUCCUACCAAAAUCAAGAACAAUCCUACCGAGGAAACGAAGGCUUUGGUACCAGAUGAUAUGCUCACGCCUAGGGAUAGCGUGAGACAAGUCGUUGUGGCCCGAUCUUCUCGUAGGAUUCGCGAACUUGAUAACUUGUCGCUGCGUGACCUGGUGAAGAGGCAGUGCACCGCGAGGCUGUCCACGCGACGAACUACCGAGACAAUCACCCUUCCACGUACCGACGAACAGCCCACGCAAUCACGCCGUAUAGACGUGAAGGCACAAACUGGAUGAACCGCAGUUCGGCGUUCUACAACUCCCUCAGGAAUCGAAAGAACAAGUUUUGCAAGCCUCUCAAGACUCACGCAUAAACAAAACUCCACGAGUUUGUGUAUUCUGAAUUUUAACCAAGCAAGAUGUGUCCUUUCAUUGUCUAGUACAAGGGAUAUAUAUAGAUAGGGGCGUUCAGCUUUGAAUACAUGACAGCAUGCACAUCCACUAGUGGAUUUCGUGGCUCGUUCGCGCGUCUUCUCAGCUUCUGGCAGCAGUUACUAAAAUGAGCAUAACUCUUUAUUGGGAAGUCUAAAUAAUGAACCGUUUGAUGGGCUGCAACAUAGACUUAAAGAUGCUUUCAUCCACCUGUAGAAUGCCACGUAACUCCUUGUAUUCUGUCCGUGGUGAUGCUUGGAAUUUGUACCAUGGGUCAGCCAUCUAGCUUCUGGUUGCCUUCUCAUGCAGAAGUAAUGAACCACCAUUUUAUUUAUGCACACGAUAGGCUUCUUGGUUCAGAUGUCCAAAGGCUUGAAUCCAUCUUCAUCCCAUGCUGGUUCAUACCCUCCAUCAUUCCUAAGGACAUUGAAACAAGAACUCAAAAGUAUAGGAUCAUUCAACAUAAACUGAUUAUUAAACAU
rnacentral:lncRNA from 1 species